rnacentral:rRNA from 1 species
UACGGAGGGUGCAAGCGUUAUCCGGAUUCACUGGGUUUAAAGGGUGCGUAGGCGGGCAGGUAAGUCAGUGGUGAAAUCUCCGGGCUUAACCCGGAAACUGCCGUUGAUACUAUCUGUCUUGAAUAUAGUGGAGGUGAGCGGAAUAUGUCAUGUAGCGGUGAAAUGCUUAGAGAUGACAUAGAACACCUAUUGCGAAGGCAGCUUACUACGCCUAUAUUGACGCUGAGGCACGAAAGCGUGGGGAUCAAACAGG